AGCAGCGUGGCUCAGUGGAAAGAGCACGGGCUUGGGAGUCAGAGGUCAUGGGUUCGAAUCCCAGCUCUGCAA
rfam:Ornithorhynchus anatinus chromosome 2, whole genome shotgun sequence.